rnacentral:tRNA from 1 species
GGGCCCAUAGCUCAGCGGUAGAGCGGCCGGCUCAUAACCGGUUGGUCCUUGGUUCGAAUCCAGGUGGGCCCACCA